AGGACAAUAUCGGACACCCAA
rnacentral:misc_RNA from 1 species